rnacentral:rRNA from 1 species
CGCGGCCUAUCAGCUUGUUGGUGGGGUAAUGGCCUACCAAGGCGACGACGGGUAGCCGACCUGAGAGGGUGACCGGCCACACUGGGACUGAGACACGGCCCAGACUCCUACGGGAGGCAGCAGUGGGAAAUAUUGCACAAUGGGCGGAAGCCUGAUGCAGCGACGCCGCGUGAGGGAUGAAGGCCUUCGGGUUGUAAACCUCUUUCAGCAGGGACGAAGCGUGAGUGACGGUACCUGCAGAAGAAGCACCGGCUAACUACGUGCCAGCAGCCGCGGUAAUACGUAGGGUGCGAGCGUUGUCCGGAAUUACUGGGCGUAAAGAGUUCGUAGGCGGUUUGUCGCGUCGUUUGUGAAAACCCGGGGCUCAACUUCGGGCUUGCAGGCGAUACGGGCAGACUUGAGUGUUUCAGGGGAGACUGGAAUUCCUGGUGUAGCGGUGAAAUGCGCAGAUAUCAGGAGGAACACCGGUGGCGAAGGCGGGUCUCUGGGAAACAACUGACGCUGAGGAACGAAAGCGUGGGUAGCAAACAGGAUUAGAUACCCUGGUAGUCCACGCCGUAAACGGUGGGCGCUAGGUGUGGGUUCCUUCCACGGGAUCUGUGCCGUAGCUAACGCAUUAAGCGCCCCGCCUGGGGAGUACGG